rnacentral:rRNA from 1 species
UACGGGGGGGGCAAGCGUUGUUCGGAAUUACUGGGCGUAAAGGGCUCGUAGGCGGCCAACUAAGUCAGACGUGAAAUCCCUCGGCUUAACCGGGGAACUGCGUCUGAUACUGGAUGGCUGGAGGUUGGGAGAGGGAUGCGGAAUUCCAGGUGUAGCGGUGAAAUGCGUAGAUAUCGGGAGGAACACCAGUGGCGAAGGCGACUUCCUGGCCUGUUCUUGACGCUGAGGCGCGAAAGCGAGGGGAGCAAACGGG